AGAGUUUGAUCCUGGCUCAGAGCGAACGCUGGCGGCAUGCUUAACACAUGCAAGUCGCGCGGGCAGCAAUGUCAGUGGCGGACGGAUGAGUAACGCGUAGGUAUCUGUCCAUGGGUGGGGGAUAACGCCGGGAAACUGGUGCUAAUACCGCAUGACACCUGAGGGUCAAAGGCGCAAGUCGCCUGUGGAGGAGCCUUCGUCCGAUUAGCUAGUUGGUGGGGUAAAGGCCUACCAAGGCGACGAUCGGUAGCUGGUCUGAGAGGAUGAUCAGCCACAUUGGGACUGAGACACGGCCCAAACUCCUACGGGAGGCAGCAGUGGGGAAUAUUGGACAAUGGGCGAAAGCCUGAUCCAGCAAUGCCGCGUGGAUGAAGAAGGUUUUCGGAUUGUAAAGUCCUUUCGGCGGGGACGAUGAUGACGGUACCCGCAGAAGAAGCCCCGGCUAACUUCGUGCCAGCAGCCGCGGUAAUACGAAGGGGGCUAGCGUUGCUCGGAAUGACUGGGCGUAAAGGGCGCGUAGGCGGUUUGGACAGUUAGGCGUGAAAUUCCUGGGCUCAACCUGGGGACUGCGCUUAAUACAUCCAGACUUGAGUGUGGAAGAGGGUUGUGGAACUCCCAGUGUAGAGGUGAAAUUCGUAGAUAUUGGGAAGAACACCGGUGGCGAAGGCGGCACCCUGGUCCAUUACUGACGCUGAGGCGCGAAAGCGUGGGGAGCAAACAGGAUUAGAUACCCCCGUAGUCC
rnacentral:rRNA from 1 species